GACGAACGCUGGCGGCGUGCUUAACACAUGCAAGUCGAACGGAAAGGCCUCUUUCGGGGGGUACUCGUGUGGCGAACGGGUGAGUAACUCGUGAGUAACUUACCCUUCUCUAUGGGAUAACUUCAGGCAACUGGGGCUAAUUCCUGCCAGGAGCUCUUGUUGCCUGCAGGGGGCUGGAAAGUUUCGGCGGCUGGCGAUGGACUCGCGGCUUAUCCGCUUGUCGUUGGGGAAGUGGUUUACCAACGCCUUGACGGGUAGCCGGCCUCAAACGGUGAUCGGCCGCCCUGGGACUGAGGUACGGCACAGGCUCCUACGGGUGGGAGAAGUGGGGAAGAUUGCAGAAUGGGUGGAAGCCUGAUGCAGAAAGGCCGUGUGCGGGAAGACGCCCUUCUGGUUGAAAACCGCUUUCGCUCGUGACGAAGCUUUGUGUGACGGUAGUGGGUAAAGAAGCACCGGCUAACUACGUG
rnacentral:rRNA from 1 species